rnacentral:lncRNA from 1 species
AGCUUAGAGCAGAGUUUCUCAAGAGCUGCAAUACUGGCAUUUGAGUCAAGUCGUUCUUUAUUGUUGGUGGUGGAGGGGGCACCCUGUAUAUUGUAGGACGUUGGGCAGCAUCUCUGACUUCUACCUACUAGAUGCCAGUAUCUCAGUUUUCUUAAAAGACUUUUUUUUUUUUUUUUUUUUUUUUGAGAUGGAGUCUUGCUGUGUUGCCUAGGCUGGAGUGCAGUGGCACCAUGUCGACUCACUGCAACCUCCGCCUCCCCGGUUCAAGCGAUUCUCCUGCCUCAGCCUCCUGAGUAGCUGGGAUUACAGGUGAGCACCACCAUGCCCAGCUAAUCGUAAAAGACUUUUCAUAAAACUUCAGAACUCCUUAAAAACUAGUGAAUAGCCAAGGUGAAGAAAGCCCUCAGGCUUCUGACUUUAGACCCCAAUCCCUGGGACUCCCACACUCAGCAAAGAAAGCUGGGUGCCUGCACCCUGGAUCUCUGAGCAAACCUGUCUUAUGGCUGUGGGCAACUCAGGAACAUGAAUUAGCACGAGAAUCUGGAGUUUUUCUUUCCUUUUCUGGGUCUCACUCUGUCACCCAGGCUGGAGUGCAGUGGCGCAGUCAUGGCUCCCUGUAACCUCAACCUCUCAGACUCCAGCAAUCCUCCUGCGACAGAUGUCAAAGAAAGAAAUGCAGAUCCUUCAGUUCAACUCUCAGUUGCAGUAAAGCCACCUACAGGAUCAGGUCAUACUAAACUGAAAUGUUGUUAUUAUCCUUUUCUGUAAGGGAGGCAGUCAAUGGUGAAUGCUGGCCUCGCUGAUUACUCACCUGGAGACCUUUCUGAGGAUCAGUUUUCUCAUCUAGAAAAUGGGACAACUGCCAGACCACUGAAGAAAAUACAGAAAACAGCCCCACACAUCAGCAUGUUUGGUUGCUGCCAGUCUACUUGGAUCUGAGUAUUUUUUCUUGCCAUGAAUGUGACGUGAUUAUCUUCUCCUACAUCACACUGAAGUUUUAUGAAUGAUGCUUUGAAGUGGGAAGGGCCAGAGAGUUAAUAUUUUCGGCUUCUUGGGCCAGCUGGUCUCGGUGGCAGCUACUGAGCUCUGCCACUGCAGCAGAGAACGGGCACAGGCGAUAUGGAAAUGAUAGGCGCGGCUGUGUUCCAAUAAAACUUUAUUUACAAAAAUGGGCAGUAGACCAGAUUUGGUCUGUGUCUUAGAGUUUGCUGACCCUGCUUUAAAGAAACAUCAAAGAGAUUCUACCAGCUGAUUUCCUUGCUCCCAAAAUUCUUGUAAGGACUAUGGCUGAGUUAGGAAGUUAUGUACUUUAAUAGCUAAUUUCAGGCCUGGCGUGGUGGCUCACGCCUGUAAUCCCAGCACUUCGGGAGGCUGAGGUGGGUGGAUCACUUGAGGUCAGGAGUUUCAGACCAGCCUGGCCAACAUGGCGAAACCCUGUCUCUACUAAAAAUACAAAAAAAUUAGCUGGGCGUG